CCUACGGGGGGCUGCAGUGGGGAAUAUUGCGCAAUGGGCGAAAGCCUGACGCAGCCACGCCGCGUGGGUGAUGAAGGCCUUCGGGUCGUAAAGCCCUGUCGUAGGGGACGAACAAUGACGGUACCCUACAAGAAAGCGCCGGCCAACUCCGUGCCAGCAGCCGCGGUAAUACGGAGGGCGCAAGCGUUGCUCGGAAUCACUGGGCGUAAAGCGAACGCAGGCGGACUUUUAAGUCGGGUGUGAAAUCCCGGGGCUCAACCCCGGACGUGCAUUCG
rnacentral:rRNA from 1 species